rnacentral:rRNA from 1 species
CAGCCGCCACGGUAAUACAGAGGGUGCGAGCGUUAAUCGGAUUUACUGGGCGUAAAGCGUGCGUAGGCGGCUAAUUGAGUCGGAUGUGAAAUCCCCGAGCUUAACUUGGGAAUUGCAUUCGAUACUGGUUAGCUAGAGUGUGGGAGAGGAUGGUAGAAUUCCAGGUGUAGCGGUGAAAUGCGUAUAGAUCUGGAGGAAUACCGAUGGCGAAGGCAGCCAUCUGGCCUAACACUGACGCUGAGGUACGAAAGCAUGGGGAGCAAACAGGAUUAGAUACCCCCGUAGUCCCUGUCUCUUAUAC